rnacentral:rRNA from 1 species
AAAUUGAAGAGUUUGAUCAUGGCUCAGAUUGAACGCUGGCGGCAGGCCUAACACAUGCAAGUCGAGCGGUAGCACAGAGAGCUUGCUCUCGGGUGACGAGCGGCGGACGGGUGAGUAAUGUCUGGGAAACUGCCUGAUGGAGGGGGAUAACUACUGGAAACGGUAGCUAAUACCGCAUAAUGUCGCAAGACCAAAGUGGGGGACCUUCGGGCCUCAUGCCAUCAGAUGUGCCCAGAUGGGAUUAGCUAGUAGGUGGGGUAACGGCUCACCUAGGCGACGAUCCCUAGCUGGUCUGAGAGGAUGACCAGCCACACUGGAACUGAGACACGGUCCAGACUCCUACGGGAGGCAGCAGUGGGGAAUAUUGCACAAUGGGCGCAAGCCUGAUGCAGCCAUGCCGCGUGUGUGAAGAAGGCCUUCGGGUUGUAAAGCACUUUCAGCGGGGAGGAAGGCGGUAAGGUUAAUAACCUUAGCGAUUGACGUUACCCGCAGAAGAAGCACCGGCUAACUCCGUGCCAGCAGCCGCGGUAAUACGGAGGGUGCAAGCGUUAAUCGGAAUUACUGGGCGUAAAGCGCACGCAGGCGGUCUGUCAAGUCGGAUGUGAAAUCCCCGGGCUCAACCUGGGAACUGCAUUCGAAACUGGCAGGCUAGAGUCUUGUAGAGGGGGGUAGAAUUCCAGGUGUAGCGGUGAAAUGCGUAGAGAUCUGGAGGAAUACCGGUGGCGAAGGCGGCCCCCUGGACAAAGACUGACGCUCAGGUGCGAAAGCGUGGGGAGCAAACAGGAUUAGAUACCCUGGUAGUCCACGCCGUAAACGAUGUCGAUUUGGAGGUUGUGCCCUUGAGGCGUGGCUUCCGGAGCUAACGCGUUAAAUCGACCGCCUGGGGAGUACGGCCGCAAGGUUAAAACUCAAAUGAAUUGACGGGGGCCCGCACAAGCGGUGGAGCAUGUGGUUUAAUUCGAUGCAACGCGAAGAACCUUACCUGGUCUUGACAUCCACAGAACUUUCCAGAGAUGGAUUGGUGCCUUCGGGAACUGUGAGACAGGUGCUGCAUGGCUGUCGUCAGCUCGUGUUGUGAAAUGUUGGGUUAAGUCCCGCAACGAGCGCAACCCUUAUCCUUUGUUGCCAGCGGUCCGGCCGGGAACUCAAAGGAGACUGCCAGUGAUAAACUGGAGGAAGGUGGGGAUGACGUCAAGUCAUCAUGGCCCUUACGACCAGGGCUACACACGUGCUACAAUGGCAUAUACAAAGAGAAGCGACCUCGCGAGAGCAAGCGGACCUCAUAAAGUAUGUCGUAGUCCGGAUUGGAGUCUGCAACUCGACUCCAUGAAGUCGGAAUCGCUAGUAAUCGUAGAUCAGAAUGCUACGGUGAAUACGUUCCCGGGCCUUGUACACACCGCCCGUCACACCAUGGGAGUGGGUUGCAAAAGAAGUAGGUAGCUUAACCUUCGGGAGGGCGCUUACCACUUUGUGAUUCAUGACUGGGGUGAAGUCGUAACAAGGUAACCGUAGGGGAACCUGCGGUUGGAUCACCUCCUUACCUUAAAGAA